rnacentral:tRNA from 1 species
GUUAUUUUAGUAAAAUUUAUAUUAUGUCGUCUUGAUAAGGCGGAGUUCUUCGGGAAUAAUA